UACGUAGGGGGCAAGCGUUGUCCGGAAUCAUUGGGCGUAAAGCGUGCGCAGGCGGUUCUAUAAGACAGAUGGGAAAUCCCCGGGCUCAACCUGGGAACUGCAUUUGUGACUGUAGAGCUGGAGUACGGUAGAGGGGGAUGGAAUUCCGCGUGUAGCAGUGAAAUGCGUAGAUGUGCGGAGGAACACCGAUGGCGAAGGCAAUCCCCUGGACCUGUACUGACGCUCAUGCACGAAAGCGUGGGGAGCAAACAGG
rnacentral:rRNA from 1 species